AUUGAACGCUGUCGGCAGGCCUAACACAUGCAAGUCGAGCGAGCGGCGGACGGGUGAGUAAUGUAUGGGGACUGCCCGAUAGAUGGGGAUAACUACUGGAAACGGUGGCUACUACCGCAUACCAUCGGAUAACCCAUAUGGGAUUAGCUAGUUGGGGGGGUAAAGGGACACCUAGGCGACGAUCCCAAGCUGGUCUGAGAGGAUGAUGAGCAAGAGUGGGACUGAGAGACGGCCCAGAGUCCUACGGAGGCAGCAGUGGGGAAUAUUGCACAACGGGGGCAAGCUUGAUGAAGCCAUGCCGCGUGUAGGAAGAAGGCCUGAGGGUUGUAAAGUACUUUCAGCGGGGAGGCGUUGCCCGCAGGAGAAGCAGCGGCUAACUCCGUGGCAGCAGCCGCGGUAAUAC
rnacentral:rRNA from 1 species